UCUAACUGUCUCCUCUCUACCCUACAAAACUUCUCUGGUGGUGCAAAAGCCGCCAUAUAAGCGCCAGACGAGAAGACCCUAUCGAGCUUAAAAACCAGAAAGAAUGGACUUCAUUAAAGCAGGAAACCUCCUUCUUUUCCCACUUUCUUUUACGUUUUUUGGUUGGGGCAACCGCGGAGACUACUCAACCUCCGCACUGAAAUCUUAAGACUUCGAGUCAAAAACGGAAAAGUGAUCCGGUACACCCGAACAAUGAAAAAAGUUACCGUAGGGAUAACAGCGUAAUCCCUCCUGAGAGCCCACAUUGACGGAGGGGCUUGCGACCUCGAUGUUGGAUCGGGAAACCCUGAUGGUGCAGCCGCUAUCAAAGGUUGGUCUGUUCGACCAUUAAAA
rnacentral:rRNA from 1 species